rnacentral:misc_RNA from 1 species
GAUGAAGAACGUAGCGAAAUGCGAUAAGUAAUGUGAAUUGCAGAAUUCAGUGAAUCAUCGAAUCUUUGAACGCACAUUGCGCCCGGCAGUACUCUGCCGGGCAUGCCUGUUCGAGCGUCAUUUCAACCCUCAAGCCCUGCUUGGUGUUGGGGUCCCACGGCCGCCGUGGGCCCUGAAAGGAAGUGGCGGGCUCGCUACAACUCCGAGCGUAGUAAUUCAUCAUCUCGCUUAGGGCGUUGGGCGGCGCUCCUGCCGUUAAAGAACCAUCUUUAACUCAAGGUUGACCUCGGAUCAGGUAGGAAUACCCGCUGAACUUAAGCAUAUCAAUAAGCGGAGGA